rnacentral:pre_miRNA from 1 species
CAAGAUUUUUAAGGCCAGUGGAGUUUCUCAGCCACUACUGGCCUGUAAAAUCUUUAA